rnacentral:rRNA from 1 species
UUAAGCGACUAAGCGUACACGGUGGAUGCCCUGGCAGUCAGAGGCGAUGAAGGACGUGCUAAUCUGCGAUAAGCGUCGGUAAGGUGAUAUGAACCGUUAUAACCGGCGAUUUCCGAAUGGGGAAACCCAGUGUGUUUCGACACACUAUCAUUAACUGAAUCCAUAGGUUAAUGAGGCGAACCGGGGGAACUGAAACAUCUAAGUACCCCGAGGAAAAGAAAUCAACCGAGAUUCCCCCAGUAGCGGCGAGCGAACGGGGAGGAGCCCAGAGUCUGAAUCAGUGUGUGUGUUAGUGGAAGCGUCUGGAAAGGCGCGCGAUACAGGGUGACAGCCCCGUACACAAAAAUGCACAUAUUGUGAGCUCGAUGAGUAGGGCGGGACACGUGGUAUCCUGUCUGAAUAUGGGGGGACCAUCCUCCAAGGCUAAAUACUCCUGACUGACCGAUAGUGAACCAGUACCGUGAGGGAAAGGCGAAAAGAACCCCGGCGAGGGGAGUGAAAAAGAACCUGAAACCGUGUACGUACAAGCAGUGGGAGCCUCUUUUAUGGGGUGACUGCGUACCUUUUGUAUAAUGGGUCAGCGACUUAUAUUCUGUAGCAAGGUUAACCGAAUAGGGGAGCCGAAGGGAAACCGAGUCUUAACUGGGCGUUAAGUUGCAGGGUAUAGACCCGAAACCCGGUGAUCUAGCCAUGGGCAGGUUGAAGGUUGGGUAACACUAACUGGAGGACCGAACCGACUAAUGUUGAAAAAUUAGCGGAUGACUUGUGGCUGGGGGUGAAAGGCCAAUCAAACCGGGAGAUAGCUGGUUCUCCCCGAAAGCUAUUUAGGUAGCGCCUCGUGAACUCAUCUCCGGGGGUAGAGCACUGUUUCGGCAAGGGGGUCAUCCCGACUUACCAACCCGAUGCAAACUGCGAAUACCGGAGAAUGUUAUCACGGGAGACACACGGCGGGUGCUAACGUCCGUCGUGAAGAGGGAAACAACCCAGACCGCCAGCUAAGGUCCCAAAGUCAUGGUUAAGUGGGAAACGAUGUGGGAAGGCCCAGACAGCCAGGAUGUUGGCUUAGAAGCAGCCAUCAUUUAAAGAAAGCGUAAUAGCUCACUGGUCGAGUCGGCCUGCGCGGAAGAUGUAACGGGGCUAAACCAUGCACCGAAGCUGCGGCAGCGACACUAUGUGUUGUUGGGUAGGGGAGCGUUCUGUAAGCCUGUGAAGGUGUACUGUGAGGUAUGCUGGAGGUAUCAGAAGUGCGAAUGCUGACAUAAGUAACGAUAAAGCGGGUGAAAAGCCCGCUCGCCGGAAGACCAAGGGUUCCUGUCCAACGUUAAUCGGGGCAGGGUGAGUCGACCCCUAAGGCGAGGCCGAAAGGCGUAGUCGAUGGGAAACAGGUUAAUAUUCCUGUACUUGGUGUUACUGCGAAGGGGGGACGGAGAAGGCUAUGUUGGCCGGGCGACGGUUGUCCCGGUUUAAGCGUGUAGGCUGGUUUUCCAGGCAAAUCCGGAAAAUCAAGGCUGAGGCGUGAUGACGAGGCACUACGGUGCUGAAGCAACAAAUGCCCUGCUUCCAGGAAAAGCCUCUAAGCAUCAGGUAACAUCAAAUCGUACCCCAAACCGACACAGGUGGUCAGGUAGAGAAUACCAAGGCGCUUGAGAGAACUCGGGUGAAGGAACUAGGCAAAAUGGUGCCGUAACUUCGGGAGAAGGCACGCUGAUAUGUAGGUGAAGUCCCUCGCGGAUGGAGCUGAAAUCAGUCGAAGAUACCAGCUGGCUGCAACUGUUUAUUAAAAACACAGCACUGUGCAAACACGAAAGUGGACGUAUACGGUGUGACGCCUGCCCGGUGCCGGAAGGUUAAUUGAUGGGGUCAGCGCAAGCGAAGCUCUUGAUCGAAGCCCCGGUAAACGGCGGCCGUAACUAUAACGGUCCUAAGGUAGCGAAAUUCCUUGUCGGGUAAGUUCCGACCUGCACGAAUGGCGUAAUGAUGGCCAGGCUGUCUCCACCCGAGACUCAGUGAAAUUGAACUCGCUGUGAAGAUGCAGUGUACCCGCGGCAAGACGGAAAGACCCCGUGAACCUUUACUAUAGCUUGACACUGAACAUUGAGCCUUGAUGUGUAGGAUAGGUGGGAGGCUUAGAAGUGUGGACGCCAGUCUGCAUGGAGCCGACCUUGAAAUACCACCCUUUAAUGUUUGAUGUUCUAACGUUGACCCGUGAUCCGGGUUGCGGACAGUGUCUGGUGGGUAGUUUGACUGGGGCGGUCUCCUCCUAAAGAGUAACGGAGGAGCACGAAGGUUGGCUAAUCCUGGUCGGACAUCAGGAGGUUAGUGCAAUGGCAUAAGCCAGCUUGACUGCGAGCGUGACGGCGCGAGCAGGUGCGAAAGCAGGUCAUAGUGAUCCGGUGGUUCUGAAUGGAAGGGCCAUCGCUCAACGGAUAAAAGGUACUCCGGGGAUAACAGGCUGAUACCGCCCAAGAGUUCAUAUCGACGGCGGUGUUUGGCACCUCGAUGUCGGCUCAUCACAUCCUGGGGCUGAAGUAGGUCCCAAGGGUAUGGCUGUUCGCCAUUUAAAGUGGUACGCGAGCUGGGUUUAGAACGUCGUGAGACAGUUCGGUCCCUAUCUGCCGUGGGCGCUGGAGAACUGAGGGGGGCUGCUCCUAGUACGAGAGGACCGGAGUGGACGCAUCACUGGUGUUCGGGUUGUCAUGCCAAUGGCACUGCCCGGUAGCUAAAUGCGGAAGAGAUAAGUGCUGAAAGCAUCUAAGCACGAAACUUGCCCCGAGAUGAGUUCUCCCUGACCCUUUAAGGGUCCUGAAGGAACGUUGAAGACGACGACGUUGAUAGGCCGGGUGUGUAAGCGCAGCGAUGCGUUGAGCUAACCGGUACUAAUGAACCGUGAGGCUUAACCUU